rnacentral:rRNA from 1 species
GAAACCGUGUGCUUACAAGUAGUCAGAGCCCGUUAAUGGGUGAUGGCGUGCCUUUUGUAGAAUGAACCGGCGAGUUACGAUUUGAUGCAAGGUUAAGCAGUAAAUGUGGAGCCGUAGCGAAAGCGAGUCUGAAUAGGGCGUUUAGUAUUUGGUCGUAGACCCGAAACCAGGUGAUCUACCCUUGGUCAGGUUGAAGUUCAGGUAACACUGAAUGGAGGACCGAACCGACUUACGUUGAAAAGUGAGCGGAUGAACUGAGGGUAGCGGAGAAAUUCCAAUCGAACCUGGAGAUAGCUGGUUCUCUCCGAAAUAGCUUUAGGGCUAGCCUCAAGUGAUGAUUAUUGGAGGUAGAGCACUGUUUGGACGAGGGGCCCCUCUCGGGUUACCGAAUUCAGACAAACUCCGAAUGCCAAUUAAUUUAACUUGGGAGUCAGAACAUGGGUGAUAAGGUCCGUGUUCGAAAGGGAAACAGCCCAGACCACCAGCUAAGGUCCCAAAAUAUAUGUUAAGUGGAAAAGGAUGUGGCGUUGCCCAGACAACUAGGAUGUUGGCUUAGAAGCAGCCAUCAUUUAAAGAGUGCGUAAUAGCUCACUAGUCGAGUGACACUGCGCCGAAAAUGUACCGGGGCUAAACAUAUUACCGAAGCUGUGGAUUGUCCUUUGGACAAUGGUAGGAGAGCGUUCUAAGGGCGUUGAAGCAUGAUCGUAAGGACAUGUGGAGCGCUUAGAAGUGAGAAUGCCGGUGUGAGUAGCGAAAGACGGGUGA